rnacentral:lncRNA from 1 species
AAGGGGGAGAAGGUAUAAGAAUUUAAGGUUAAUCAUUUUUGAAUGAAUUGUUUUGCAGGAAAUCAAGACUUCAAGAUUCCUAGUUGCGUCUAAGUCAUAGAGUCUGUUUUAGGAGUUUUUGAUGUAAUUUUGAAUCUCAAAUUGUAUUUGGAUUACACGCGAGAAGUUCAAUGUUUUGGUGAUGACAAUUGAACUUCGAUUCUUUUAUGUAUUUUUGAGUUUUGUGAGUUUUGUCACGAAAUUGCCAAAGGGGGAGAUUGUUAAGGAUUUUGUAUUGGCAAGUUUUGUGAAGUGAGUCGGAGUCUUGAAGGAUCGAAGAGAAUUGACAAAGAUCGAAGAAUUCAAGAUUUCGAAGAAAUCAGAAAAUAGCUCACAGCGUGAAUCACGAUGCUCAGGUAAAGUUUU